rnacentral:rRNA from 1 species
UACGGAGGAUCCAAGCGUUAUCCGGAUUUAUUGGGUUUAAAGGGUGCGUAGGCGGUAUAGUAAGUCAGUGGUGAAAGCCUGUCGCUUAACGACAGAACUGCCAUUGAUACUGCUAAUCUUGAGUAUAUUUGAAGUGGGCGGAAUGUGUCGUGUAGCGGUGAAAUGCUUAGAUAUGACACAGAACACCAAUUGCGAAGGCAGCUCACUAAACUAUAACUGACGCUGAGGCACGAAAGCGUGGGGAUCAAACAGG